GAUGAACGCUAGCGGCGUGCCUAAUACAUGCAAGUCGAGCGGACAGACGAGGAGCUUGCUCCUCUGACGUUGGCGGCGGGCGGGUGAGUGACAAGUGGGUAACCUACCUAUCAGACUGGGAUAACUUCGGGAAACCGGGGCUAAUACAGGAUGAUAUAUUGAACCGCAUGGUUCCAUAGUGAAAGACGGUUUUGCUGUCACUUAUAGAUGGAUCCGCGCUGCAUUAGCUAGUUGGUAAGGUAACGGCUUACCAGGGCAUCGAUGCGUAGCCGACCGGAGAGGGUGAUCGGCCACACUGGAACUGAGACACGGCCCAGACCACUACGGUAGGCAGCAGUAGGGAAUCGUCCGCAAUGGGAGAAAGGCUGACGGAGCACCGCCGCGUGAGUGAUGAAGGUCUUCGGAUCGUAAAACUAUGUUAUUAGGGAAGAACAAAUGUGUAAGUAACUAUGCACGUCUUGACGGUACCGAAUCAGAAAGCCACGGCUAACUCCGUG
rnacentral:rRNA from 1 species